GAGAGCAUUAGUAAGCAGCUAAUCCUUUAUGAGGCUAGAAGCCUACCUUGGGUCAGCAGGGGGCUGCCCCACUGUGCUGUUUUGCCCUGGGUUCCUGAGGUCAUCAUGCCAAAAUGUCACAGAGACCAGGGCCACUCUCCAGCAUGCGCACAGCCACGUUAGGGAGCUGGGCCAGGCAUUCUGCCCAGCGUCACACACAAGCAGAGCGUCAGCCAACCCCGCCGGCUUGGGACAGCCUCGGGCAGAGCACAGAGUGUGAAAACCUUCCAGUGAGCGGUGUCGUGCAUCUGGGGAGCACCCUGAGGCCCACUGGCCUGUGAAUGCAUGGCUCAGUGCUCAAAACCAGGUUCACUGUGAAGACAGAGAAGCAGGAGGCUGGUGGGGCGCUGACUCACGGGCCCAGAACCAGGAAGACGCAGCAGGUGGGGCCGGGCGUCACUGUGCCCUCUCCUCCCUGCUCUGAACCAUCCAGGUCUCCCCGUGGCCUCGCACUCCCAGGCCAUCAGUCUGGUGCCUCAGGGGGCCAGCAGCUGGCCUCUCGCUGGAUUCCUGCUUCUGUUCUGACCCCACACCCAUGUCCCUCCCUAGUCCAGAGGGCCCAGAUUAUAACCCGGACCCCAUUACAUCUCUGCUCGGGACUUCCAAGGACUCCGCGCUGCAAGCGCAGAAUCUAGAGUCUCCAUCCGGGUUGCAGGGGGCCAGGACCCACCCCUUCCUCACUGCAUUCCAGCCCGCAGACCCUCAGGCAGCCUCUCAUGCCACAGAGCCUUUGCACACACUUUCCCCUGUCUAGACCACACUCCUCCACUUGGCUCUGUAGCCCUGUAGUCCAUUCCUCAGUGCAGUGACCCUCAGCUCUCCCAGAGCCUUGCACUUUUCCUUUCCAGAGUGAUUUUUCUUCUGAGGUUUGAUAAGAGCCCAGGGCCUCACAUAUGCUAAGCACACCUGCUAGCACUGAGCCACUCCCCUGGGCCCUGAAAUCAGGAGCUUUUGCAUCUCCUUAACUAGACUGAAAAGUGCAAGAGGGCAGAGGCCAACCGUGUCUGCUUUUGCCCACCAAGGUUCCCUGGAGUCUGCACAGUGCCAGCUGCCGAUAGAUACAUAAUAAAGUACCAGGAAUCGAACUCACAACCUCAUGCUUGCCAGGCAGGUGCUGUGCCACUGAGCUAAAUCCCCAGCCCCAAAACUUCCUUUGGGAAGUGGGCUUGUGGGCAACCUACUUUCCGGGUCUCCUCCUGUCUCUCUUAGGCAGGAGCUGUCUUUCCCUCAAUAAAAUUUCCUCCUCUUAA